ACUUGGUCAUUAUUAACUUACAUUAAUUAAAUACAUGAUAGGCAUCAGAGUAUUUUUCAAGGACCUAUGUACAAGAACACUGACAACAGAUACCAUAGAACAAUUAGACAAGAAUAUCCCAGUGUUGCUCUGUAACUUAGAGAA
rnacentral:sRNA from 1 species